rnacentral:rRNA from 1 species
UACGUAGGGGGCGAGCGUUGUCCGGAAUCACUGGGCGUAAAGCGCGCGUAGGCGGUUUGGCACAUCCGGAUGUGAAAGCCCCCGGCUCAACCGGGGGAGGACAGCGGAGAUGGCCAGACUGGAGGGUGGUAGAGGCAAGUGGAAGUCCCGAAGUAGUGGUGAAAUGCGUAGAGAUCGGGAGGAACACCAGUGGCGAAGGCGACUUGCUGGGCCACACCUGACGCUGAGGCGCGAAAGCCAGGGGAGCGAACGGA